UUUACCCGCCUAUCACUGGUCUCCUUAUUGUACAUGUAUAUGGGGAUCAGUGACUAAGCGGGUAAA